GCAAGCGUGACCGAGUGGUCCAAGGUGCUACGUUCAGGUCGUAGUGUGUUCGCACGCGUGGGUUCGAGUCCCACCGCUUGCA
rfam:Blastocystis hominis, Singapore isolate B (sub-type 7) whole genome shotgun sequence assembly, scaffold_13